rnacentral:rRNA from 1 species
GACGAACGCUGGCGGCGUGCUUAACACAUGCAAGUCGAACGCUGAAGCCCUUUCGGGGGUGGAUGAGUGGCGAACGGGUGAGUAACACGUGGGUAAUCUGCCCUGCACUCUGGGAUAAGCCUUGGAAACGGGGUCUAAUACCGGAUAGGACACAUCGCCGCAUGGUGCGUGUGUGGAAAGUUCCGGCGGUGCAGGUUGAGCCCGCGGCCUGUCGGCUUGUUGGUGGGGUGAUGGCCUACCAAGGCGACGACGGGUAGCCGGCCUGAGAGGGUGACCGGCCACACUGGGACUGAGACACGGCCCAGACUCCUACGGGAGGCAGCAGUGGGGAAUCUUGCGCAAUGGGCGAAAGCCUGACGCAGCAACGCCGCGUGGGGGAUGACGGCCUUCGGGUUGUAAACCUCUUUCGACCGGGACGAAGGGUGACUGACGGUACCGGUAGAAGAAGCACCGGCUAACUACGUGCCAGCAGCCGCAGUAA